GACGAACGCUGGCGGCGUGCCUAAUACAUGCAAGUCGAACGGUCUUUUCUAUGGAAGCUUGCUUCCACUGAGAAGAUAGUGGCGAACGGGUGAGUAACACGUGGGUAACCUGCCCAUAAGAGGGGGAUAACAUCCGGAAACGGUGCUAAUACCGCAUAGGUUUCUUGGUCGCAUGAUCGAGAAAGGAAGACGGCCUUUGUGCUGUCGCUGAUGGAUGGACCCGCGCUGCAUUAGCUAGUUGGUGGGGUAACGCUCACCAAGGCCACGAUGCAUAGCCGACUGAGAGGGUAUCGGCCACACUGGGACUGAGACACGGACCAGACUCCUACGGGAGCAGCAGUGAGGAAUA
rnacentral:rRNA from 1 species